GGACGUUUCAAGCAAGUUUUGUAACCUGUGACAACAUUUAUAUUUUGAGUGGCAUAAAUGUUUUUCUUGUGCCAUUAGAUUACUGGAAUGAAUCACACAACACAGCUAAAUAAGCAGCAGGACAAGCUUGUAAUUGGUUGUAGCCAUUUUAGAAAUCAGGCUUACUCCAAGCACCUUUACCACUUCAGUAAUUUUAAGUGCUCACAGUGCUUGGAG